rnacentral:rRNA from 1 species
GACGUAGGGCGCGAGCGUUGUCCGGAUUUAUUGGGCGUAAAGGGCUCGUAGGCGGUUUGUCACGUCGGAUGUGAAAACCCGAGGCUUAACCUCGGGCCUGCAUUCGAUACGGGCUGACUAGAGUUCGGUAGGGGAGACUGGAAUUCCUGGUGUAGCGGUGAAAUGCGCAGAUAUCAGGAGGAACACCGGUGGCGAAGGCGGGUCUCUGGGCCGAUACUGACGCUGAGGAGCGAAAGCGUGGGGAGCGAACAGG